rnacentral:rRNA from 1 species
CGGUAGAGGGGGCAACCCCUUGAGAGUGGCGAACGGGUGAGUAAUAUAUCGGAACGUGCCCAGUCGUGGGGGAUAACGUAGCGAAAGUUACGCUAAUACCGCAUACGAUCUACGGAUGAAAGCGGGGGACUCGCAAGAGCCUCGCGCGAUUGGAGCGGCCGAUAUCAGAUUAGGUAGUUGGUGGGGUAAAGGCUCACCAAGCCAACGAUCUGUAGCUGGUCUGAGAGGACGACCAGCCACACUGGAACUGAGACACGGUCCAGACUCCUACGGGAGGCAGCAGUGGGGAAUUUUGGACAAUGGACGCAAGUCUGAUCCAGCCAUUCCGCGUGCAGGAUGAAGGCCCUCGGGUUGUAAACUGCUUUUGUACGGAACGAAAAGGUUUCUAUUAAUACUAGGAGCUCAUGACGGUACCGUAAGAAUAAGCACCGGCUAACUACGUGCCAGCAGCCGCGGUAAUACGUAGGGUGCAAGCGUUAAUCGGAAUUACUGGGCGUAAAGCGUGCGCAGGCGGUUAUGUAAGACAGAGGUGAAAUCCCCGGGCUCAACCUGGGAACUGCCUUUGUGACUGCAUAGCUAGAGUACGGUAGAGGGGGAUGGAAUUCCGCGUGUAGCAGUGAAAUGCGUAGAUAUGCGGAGGAACACCGAUGGCGAAGGCAAUCCCCUGGACCUGUACUGACGCUCAUGCACGAAAGCGUGGGGAGCAAACAGGAUUAGAUACCCUGGUAGUCCACGCCCUAAACGAUGUCAACUGGUUGUUGGGUCUUCACUGACUCAGUAACGAAGCUAACGCGUGAAGUUGACCGCCUGGGGAGUAC